GGGCACAGUGGCCCCGGCCCUGGAAGCGCCCCCGACAGAGCCAGCCGCGGUGGGUGAGGGGCCGGGCCGGAGCCGCGGAUCCUUCAUGAUGAGAGAUUUGGGGACACUUCUCUCUCCUCUGUGUAGUUGAUAGUUUGGUGGUGAAGAGAUGGCUGACAGUGUCAAAACCUUUCUCCAGGACCUUGCCAGAGGAAUCAAAGACUCCAUCUGGGGUAUUUGUACCAUCUCAAAGCUAGAUGCUCGAAUCCAGCAAAAGAGAGAGGAGCAGCCUCGAAGAAGGGCAAGUAGUGUCUUGGCACAGAGAAGAGCCCAGAGUAUAGAACAGAAGCAACAGAGUGAGCCACGUAUUGUUAGUAGAAUUUUCCAGUGUUGUGCUUGGAAUGGUGGAGUGUUCUGGUUCAGUCUCCUCUUGUUUUAUCGAGUAUUUAUUCCUGUGCUUCAGUCAGUAACAGCCCGAAUUAUCGAUGACCCAUCACUACAUGGAGAUGUUUGGUCGUGGCUGGAAUUCUUCCUCACGUCAAUUUUCAGUGCUCUUUCGGUGCUCCCCUUGUUUGUGCUUAGCAAAGUGGCGAAUGCCAUUUGGUUUCAGGAUAUAGCUGAUCUGGCAUUUGAGGUAUCAGGGAGGAAGCCUCACCCAUUCCCUAGUGUCAGCAAAAUAAUUGCUGACGUGCUCUUCAACCUUUUGCUGCAGGCUCUUUUCCUCAUUCAGGGAAUGUUUGUGAGUCUCUUUCCCAUCCAUCUUGUCAGUCAGCUGGUUAGUAGUCUCCUGCAUAUGUCCCUUCUCUACUCACUGUACUGCUUGGAAUAUCGUUGGUUCAAUAAAGGAACUGAAAUGCACCAGCGGUUGCUUAACAUAGAAAGGAAUUGGCCUUACUACUUUGGGUUUGGUUUGCCCUUGGCUUUUCUCACAGCAGUGCAGUCCUCAUAUAUUAUCAGUGGCUGCCUUUUCUCUAUCCUCUUUCCUUUAUUAAUUAUCAGCGCCAAUGAAGCAAAGACCCCUGGCAAAGCAUAUCUCUUCCAGUUGCGCCUCUUCUCCUUGGUGGUCUUCUUAAGCAACAGACUCUUCCACAAGACAGUCUGUCUGCAGUCGGCCCCGAGCAGCUCCACUUCUGCAGAGAAGUUCCCUUCACCGCAUCUGUCGCCUGCCAAACUGAAGGCUGCUGCAGGCCACUGAGUUGCCUGCCAUCCAAAUGGAAUGGGUGGGAUUGGAAGAAAGCUGUGGCAGCUCUUUUCCCUGUUCACCUCCCCCUGCCAGGGAAGGCAGGACCCACUCUGCCAAGGGCCCUCUGCAUACUCCCUUCUCUCUGAGGAACUGAAAUUUUUGUCUCUGGUACACGUAAGGCAGAAUGUUCCCUGACACCAGUGUGUGGAUUUUUAACAUCACCGUGAGUCUGAAAGGACCACAAGUUUUUCUGCAGCUAUUUUCUAGCAUUUGCCAGUCCUCGUGCCUGGACUGAUUUGAAUACUUUGUUUUUCUCCCUGUGCCAUUUACCCUUCCACCUUUCCAUCCUGCCUUCCACCACCCUUGGAUGAAUGGAUUUUGUAAUUCUAGCUGUUGUAUUUUGUGGAUUUGUUAUUAUUAUUAUUUUUUCUGUGAAGCACAUACAUUGGAUAUGGGAGGUAAAGGAGUGUUCCGAUUGCUCCUGGUCACUCCCUUUAUAGCCAUUACUGUCUUGUUUCUUGUAACUCAGGUUAGGUUUUGGUCUCUUGCUCCACUGGAAAAAAAAAAC